rnacentral:rRNA from 1 species
UAGCAUAUCAAUAAGCGGAGGAAAAGAAACCAACAGGGAUUGCCCUAGUAACGGCGAGUGAAGCGGCAACAGCUCAAAUUUGAAAUCUGGCGUCUUUGGCGUCCGAGUUGUAAUUUGCAGAGGGCGCUUUGGCAUUGGCAGCGGUCCAAGUUCCUUGGAACAGGACGUCACAGAGGGUGAGAAUCCCGUACGUGGUCGCUAGCCUUUACCGUGUAAAGCCCCUUCGACGAGUCGAGUUGUUUGGGAAUGCAGCUCUAAAUGGGAGGUAAAUUUCUUCUAAAGCUAAAUACUGGCCAGAGACCGAUAGCGCACAAGUAGAGUGAUCGAAAGAUGAAAAGCACUUUGGAAAGAGAGUUAAAAAGCACGUGAAAUUGUUGAAAGGGAAGCGCUUGCAGCCAGACUUGCCUGUAGUUGCUCAUCCGGGUUUCUACCCGGUGCACUCUUCUAUAGGCAGGCCAGCAUCAGUUUGGGCGGUUGGAUAAAGGUCUCUGUCAUGUACCUCUCUUCGGGGAGAACUUAUAGGGGAGACGACAUGCAACCAGCCUGGACUGAGGUCCGCGCAUCUGCUAGGAUGCUGGCGUAAUGGCUGUAAGCGGCCCGUCUUGAAACACGGACCAAGGAGUCUAACAUCUAUGCGAGUGUUUGGGUGUCAAGCCCGAGCGCGUAAUGAAAGUGAACGGAGGUGGGAACCUUUCGGGGUGCACCAUCGACCGAUCCUGAUGUCUUCGGAUGGAUUUGAGUAAGAGCAUAGCUGUUGGGACCCGAAAGAUGGUGAACUAUGCUUGAAUAGGGUGAAGCCAGAGGAAACUCUGGUGGAGGCUCGCAGCGGUUCUGACGUGCAAAUCGAUCGUCAAAUUUGGGCAUAGGGGCGAAAGACUAAUCGAACUAUCUAGUAGCUGGUUCCUGCCAAU